GAUGAACGCUGGCGGCGUGCCUAAUACACGCAAGUCGAGCGAACAGACGAGGAGCUUACUCCUCUGACGUUAGCGGCGGACGGGUGAGUAACACGUGGAUAACCUACCUUUAAGACUGGGAUAACUUCGGGAAACCGGAGCUAAUACCGGAUAACAUGUUGAACCGCAUGGUUCAUCAGUGAAAGACGGUUUUGCUGUCACUUAUAGAUGGAUCCGCGUCGCAUUAGCUAGUUGGUAAGGUAACGGCUUACCAAGGCAACGAUGCGUAGCCGACCUGAGAGGGUGAUCGGCCACACUGGAACUGAGACACGGUCCAGACUCCUACGGGAGGCAGCAGUAGGGAAUCUUCCGCAAUGGGCGAAAGCCUGACGGAGCAACGCCGCGUGAGUGAAGAAGGUCUUCGGAUCGUAAAACUCUGUUAUUAGGGAAGAACAAAUGUGUAAGUAACUAUGCACGUCUUGACGGUACCUAAUCAGAAAGCCACGGCUAACUACGUG
rnacentral:rRNA from 1 species